CUGAAACAGUGAGGUAGUGACAAUAAAUAACAAUGCCGGGCCUUUACAGGUCUGGCAAUUGGAAUGAGAACAAUUUAAAUCCCUUAUCGAGUAUCAAUUGGAGGGCAAGUCUGGUGCCAGCAGCCGCGGUAAUUCCAGCUCCAAUAGCGUAUAUUAAAGUUGUUGCAGUUAAAAAGCUCGUAGUUGGAUUUCUGGCAGGAGCGUCCGGUCUCACACUCAGUGCGGGAACUUGGAUGUCUCUGGCCAUCUUUGGGGAUAUCCUGUUUGGCAUUAAGUUGUCGGGCAGGGGAUACCCAUCGUUUACUGUGAAAAACUUAGAGUGUUUAAAGCAGGCUUAUGCCGUUGAAUAUAUUAGCAUGGAAUAAUAAGAUAGGACGUAGGUACUAUUUUGUUGGUUUGCGCACCCACGUAAUGAUUAAUAGAGACAGGCGGGGCUAUUCGUAUUGCAUUGUCAGAGGUGAAAUUCUUGGAUUUCUGCAAGACGAACUACUGCG
rnacentral:rRNA from 1 species